AAUGACACAUGCCUCAAAUUCUCAACUCUUGAGAAUAUGCGUCAUCAUCUUAUUAAUUCCUUGGAUGAUUCAUGGACACAUAAGAACAUGAAUGAAAAGAAUGCCCAACUUAAUAGAUUCAUAAUUAGGUCAAGUACAAAUUUAUGUCCCAGAAUAAAAUAAUGCGUCAGCCAAAUUGGCUUCUAGGGCAUACUUCUAAC
rnacentral:lncRNA from 1 species